CCGGCGGUGGUGUAGUGGGAACACACAACCUUCAUGUAGGCAGAUCUUGAAGGUUUUGGGUUGGGUCUCGGGUUUGAACCCCGGCUGGCACA